rfam:Streptosporangium subroseum strain CGMCC 4.2132 genome assembly, contig: Ga0079903_1003
GUUCGCGACGCGGGGUGCCCCGGAAUGUCCGGGGCUGAGAGCACACCCGUCGAACCUGAUCUAGUUCGAACUAGCGAAGGGACGUCAUGUUCUGCGACG